CCUACGGGUGGCAGCAGUGAGGAAUAUUGGUCAAUGGGCGCUAGCCUGAACCAGCCAAGUAGCGUGAAGGAUGACUGCCCUAUGGGUUGUAAACUUCUUUUAUAUGGGAAUAAAGUGCCAUAUGUAUACUGCUUUGCAUGUACCUUAUGAAUAAGGAUCGGCUAACUCCGUGCCAGCAGCCGCGGUAAUACGGAAGAUCCGAGCGUUAUCCGGAUUUAUUGGGUUUAAAGGGGGCGUAGGCGGGUUGUUAAGUCUGUUGUGAAAGUUUGGGGCUCAACCGUAGAAUUGCAGUGGAUACUGGCAUUCUUGAGUACAGGAGAGGUAGGCGGAAUUCGUGGUGUAGCGGUGAAAUGCUUAGAUAUCACGAAGAACUCCGAUUGCGAAGGCAGCCUGCUGGACUGGAACUGACGCUGAUGCUCGAAAGCGUGGGUAUCGAACAGGAUUAGAUACCCCAGUAGUC
rnacentral:rRNA from 1 species